GUGAAUGAGCAAACUGCGCUCAUGUUGACAGGGCGAAGUUGGAUGACAAUGCUAAACUCCUGGAUUUCACGGAGAAGCUAGAAGCAGCUUGUAUUGGUACUAUGGAGUCUGGAAAGAUGACCAAGGAUCUUGCUCUUAUUCUUCAUGGAUCCAAGAAAGUGACUUGUAAUUGUUCACUAAUUUUUGUUCUCUGUAUUCCUAGAAUGAUUUUGUAACAUAUGUUUUCUACAUGGUACAGGCUUAGUAGGGAACACUAUCUGAACACCGAAGAAUUCAUCGAUGCUGUGGCAGAUGAUCUGAAAGCAAGACUUUCUGCAUAGGCAUAAAUGUAUGUGUGCAUGUAUGACUAUUCUGCCUAUAGCAUUAUGGUUGUUUCUUUUAUUUAAUUAUAUAUAAAGUUAGGGCUGUAAUUGAGUCGGAUAAUAAAACUUUGAAGAUGACUCCUUAAGGUUAUGAUUGACUUUGGCAAAAUUGUAUUAGAGUUAAACUCAUUGCAAUGUGUUGAAGCUCGACAGUUUUAGCUCAUGCGUUGAGUUGAUUCGAGUUGAACUAGACUUUUUAUUGAUUGUAUACUAUUAAAAAAUUAUAUCUAGUAGAUUUUAGAUGAGAAGAGUCUAGUUUGCCUCUGUUUAAUAAUCAAACCUAAUCCAUAAUUACUUGCAGGUAAUUGAUGGUUCAUAGAACCCUCUAUCUUAAAUACUAGUCUAGAAACUAUACUUACAAAAAUGUACAGAUAGUUUAGUAAACUUAGAAGUAGAAAAUAUAAAUGAAAAAUAGAAAGACUGUGCAAUUAACAUUUAUAGUAAUGUUAAUCAGAUGACACUAUGAAGCUUCUAUUCUAUACUGAUCAACACACAAGAAAUAUCACUAGUAACUCCUACUACUCCCUGCAAGUCACUUAUAGCUGCUUACUUGCUAGUCCUAAAUGGUUAUGCCAAUGUAUACCACCUAGAAGGAGGGCUUUAUACCUAGUUCAAAGAAGACUUGCCAGUAAUUACUGAGGAUGAAGCCUGAAUUCAAAAUUGUGCUUCCAGUUUCCAGAGAAUGAGCUUCUGAAGAUGAAGCUUUUGACAUAGUUAGACUCAGCAUCAGUGUAUAAUUCUUUUGAUUUCUUAAUGCAGAGUUGUUUUGUCUUCUCAAAAUUUGAUUUUUUUUUGUUUUUACAUUGACAUAAAUGUUUCUUCUCAUGAUCAGAUUCAUUUCUAGUUUCUACAGUGAUAUGUAAUAUGUUCAUUUAUAUUUAUAUUGAAAAGUGAAUUUGAGAUUCAUGAUAGUUUGGUAUAUAUUUUUUGG
rnacentral:lncRNA from 1 species